GGGAAGUGGACCCACAGGCAUGUCACCUGCAGCCCUGCCUGCUGCUCAGAUCGUGCAGACUGCGGUGCCUGAAGAUGUUGCACGUGCAUUGACUUCUGGCUGCUGGACGCCAGCUCCAGCUCAAUGACUUCACCAAUCGAUCCUGAAGCCUGUGAGUGGAGAGUUAGCAGGAUGGCUUCUUGAGGAUCUGCACUCAUCUUUCUGACGUCACCUUUGGAACUAGCUCUGCAUUCCCUGGUCAGAGCUCCCCAGGGCCGCCGAGGGGCGGGGAGAUGCCAGGGGUCCUGAUGGUGCUGCAUCCUUCCCUCCCCAGGGCUGCAGGCUGGGACACACCAGCUCCGUGGGAACCUCAUCCUCCUGCCCAUGGCAGUGGUGAUGCUUCUCCACUGUGCGAGUGCAGGUCCAGGAAUGCCCACCGCCAGCUCGCGGAGCGGUGAGUAUGGACCCAACAGGGGGAAGUGGCACCAAGGGCAGGAUAUCUGCCUGGCUCAGCACCGACCCUUGGGUCUGCCAGAUACUAGACAGGCUGUCAUGCAGGCAGACUGGCUGAGGCACAAGACAAGAACUCCUCAACAUACAGACUCCUUAACUCUUGUAAAGUAAGCAGCCUGACCCAUCUCAAGCCAUCCUUUAGUGGCUCCAGGCUGAAACCGAGGGGCUUCUGCCUAAACAGUUCCAUCAGAGCAUCAGAGGUCAUCCCAGUACUUUAUUUAUGUAUUUA
ensembl:lncRNA